rnacentral:rRNA from 1 species
GAUGAACGCUGGCGGCGUGCCUAACACAUGCAAGUCGAGCGAUCUUCUUCGGAAGAGAGCGGCGGACGGGUGAGUAACGCGUGGGUAACCUGCCCUGUACACACGGAUAACAUACCGAAAGGUAUGCUAAUACGAGAUAAUAUGCUUCUAUCGCAUGGUAGAAGUAUCAAAGCUCCGGCGGUACAGGAUGGACCCGCGUCUGAUUAGCUAGUCGGUGAGGUAACGGCUCACCAAGGCGACGAUCAGUAGCCGACCUGAGAGGGUGAUCGGCCACAUUGGAACUGAGACACGGUCCAAACUCCUACGGGAGGCAGCAGUGGGGAAUAUUGCACAAUGGGCGAAAGCCUGAUGCAGCAACGCCGCGUGAGCGAUGAAGGCCUUCGGGUCGUAAAGCUCUGUCCUCAAGGAAGAUAAUGACGGUACUUGAGGAGGAAGCCCCGGCUAACUAC